rnacentral:rRNA from 1 species
CUACGUGCCAGCAGCCGCGGUAAUACGGAAGGUCCGGGCGUUAUCCGGAUUUAUUGGGUUUAAAGGGAGCGUAGGCCGGAGAUUAAGUGUGUUGUGAAAUGUAGACGCUCAACGUCUGACUUGCAGCGCAUACUGGUUUCCUUGAGUACGCACAACGUUGGCGGAAUUCGUCGUGUAGCGGUGAAAUGCUUAGAUAUGACGAAGAACUCCGAUUGCGAAGGCAGCUGACGGGAGCGCAACUGACGCUUAAGCUCGAAGGUGCGGGUAUCGAACAGGAUUAGAUACCCUGGUAGUCCACGCGGUAAACGAUGGAUGCUCGUUGUCGGCCCUUAGGGUCGGUGACCAAGCGAAAGCGUUAAGCAUCCCACCUGGGGAGUACGCCGGCAACGGUGAAACUCAAAGGAAUUGACGGGGGCCCGCACAAGCGGAGGAGCAUGUGGUUUAAUUCGAUGCAACGCGAAGAACCUUACCUACUCUUGAC